rnacentral:rRNA from 1 species
CGUGUAGGCGGAAGGGUACGUCGGUCGUUGAAAUCCCCCGGCUCAACCGGGGAACGGGCGCCGAUACGGCCUUUCUGGAGGAACGUAGGGGGACCUGGAACUUCCGGUGGAGCGGUGAAAUGCGUUGAGAUCGGAAGGAACGCCCGUGGCGAAAGCGAGGUCCUGGACGUUUUCUGACGCUGAGACGCGAAAGCCAGGGGAGCAAACGGGAUUAGAUACCCCGGUAGUCCUGGCCGUAAACGAUGGGCACUGGGUAGGGGGCUCGCCGAUGGGCUCCCUGCCGUAGGGAAACCGUGAAGUGCCCCGCCUGGGGAGUAUGGUCGCAAGGCUGAA